GUGGGCUUCAAAUUCCUGUAAUCCUCCAAAAAUCUUUGGAUCCUGAUUUGAUUUUCUUUUUCAAGUUUAUCAUACCUGUAGAGACGGUAGAGUGCACAAACCGCUAGUGCUAAAAGAAAAGAACCUACGAUGGAACCUGCAUUCACUAACGUUGAUUUUUUAUCUGUAAAAGAUUUAACAAUAUUAGCAUCUCAUUAAGCCGAAUA